UCAAAAUGAUGAUCAAGGUUUUUCUUUAUACAGUUCUGCUUCUGAAUCAAAAGUUGAAGAAAUCGUUACCAAGCUUACCAUAUGUCUGAUUC
rnacentral:snoRNA from 1 species